rnacentral:rRNA from 1 species
GAUUGAGUUUGAUCCUGGCUCAGAGUGAACGCUGGCGGCAGGCCUAACACAUGCAAGUCGAGCGGCAGCACAGCAGUAGCAAUACUGUGGGUGGCGAGCGGCGGACGGGUGAGGAAUACAUCGGAAUCUACCUUCUUGUGGGGGAUAACGUAGGGAAACUUACGCUAAUACCGCAUAAGACCUGAGGGUGAAAGCGGGGGACCGCAAGGCCUCGCGCGAGAAGAUGAGCCGAUGUCCGAUUAGCUAGUUGGUGAGGUAAAGGCUCACCAAGGCGACGAUCGGUAGCUGGUCUGAGAGGAUGAUCAGCCACACUGGAACUGAGACACGGUCCAGACUCCUACGGGAGGCAGCAGUGGGGAAUAUUGGACAAUGGGCGCAAGCCUGAUCCAGCCAUGCCGCGUGUGUGAAGAAGGCCUUCGGGUUGUAAAGCACUUUUGUUGGGGAAGAAAAGACCGUGGUUAAUAACCGUGGUUCAUGACGGUACCCAAAGAAUAAGCACCGGCUAACUUCGUGCCAGCAGCCGCGGUAAUACGAAGGGUGCAAGCGUUACUCGGAAUUACUGGGCGUAAAGCGUGCGUAGGCGGUUUGUUAAGUCUGUCGUGAAAGCCCCGGGCUCAACCUGGGAAUGGCGGUGGAUACUGGCAGGCUAGAGUACGGUAGAGGAUGGUGGAAUUCCCGGUGUAGCAGUGAAAUGCGUAGAGAUCGGGAGGAACAUCUAUGGCGAAGGCAGCCAUCUGGACCAGUACUGACGCUGAGGCAC